CUCGUUGGCAAAGACGGGAAGGACUAAACCGGUCAUUUUGAAUGGGGUUCAGAAAUCUAAAACUAGGCUAGGACAAUAAUCACAUCACGUUCAUCAGGUAAAACUAGACCUUAUUUUCUUUGCAAAUCUAAAUUUUUUUUCAUCAUCUACUACAAAGGUUUUCUACUUGUGUGUUUUGCUUUGCUUUAGGAAGAGAAUGUAACUGUUCUUUUGCAAUCAUAAUUUGUACCCCCCUUUUUCUUCACUCAGAAACAUUUUAAGCAUUCAAUGAUGAUUUAAUCUUUGGCAUAUAUGUCAAAUUCAAAAUGAAAUAUUAUUCUAAUAUGAAAGGUCUAUUUGUGGUUUUAUUUCUAUGGUAACAAAUAUCUAAUUUGCUCCGGUUGAUGACUUAACUAAUUUGAUCAAAGGAUGUGCUAUGAUCUGUCAUUUUCUGGAGUAGAUAUUUAUUUCAUGUGGUUUGCUUCCAAUAGAUGCAUGCUUACUUGUUGCCACAACUCUGAAAUAAUUUCAUACACUUGAAAUGCACCUAAGCAUUUUACUAAGAUACUUGAUGUCAUAUGCUUUUAAUACCUUAACAACAAUGAUUUGAAAGUCUUGUGAAAUUAACUUUGAUAGCUGCUGCUACUCGUGGGAAAUCUGAAAAGUAGCACCUACAGAAGUUUGGUAAUUCUUAUUCUUCUGGUUUUGCUGCACUACACUCUCCCGAAAGCAUCCUCAGAUGGAAUGGGUUCUUCACCUCAGAUGGGAAGCAAAGAUAUUUGUAAUUAAUAUUUUGAGAAAUUGUUGUUUUAGGAUCAGGACUAAAUAGAACUAUUGCUUCUUUGCUUGACCACCUGGGCUUUAGUGGAAGACAGUGAACAUUUGUUUCGAUAGUUUGACAAUAAUGCUGAAUCAACCCUUGCUUUUGUCGUGGUGAAAUUGUAGUGUGUCCCUUCUAGGUUCUCAGAUCUUGGAUGUGGACCUGACUUGCUCAAAUGUAGACAGAAACAUGUUUCUCACUGUGAAAGUGAAAGAUACACAUGUAUAUUACUCUUUUAAUAACUUCCAAGCAUAAAUUCCCUACAGUCAAAUGCAAUUGUCUGCCAAUAAAUUCUAAAAAACUUC
rnacentral:lncRNA from 1 species